AUCAUUACCGAUGAAGGCGCUCCGGCGCCCGACCUCCCAACCCUUUGACGAAUCCAAACCUCUGUCUGCCUCGGGGGCGACCCGGUCCUCGCGGACUUCGCGGUCCCCCCGGCGGCGAAUUACCAAAACCCUGCAUCAAUUGUCGUCGGAUAUUGAAGCGAAUUCAAUUAAAACUUUCAACAACGGAUCUCUUGGUUCUGGCAUCGAUGAAGAACGCAGCGAAAUGCGAUAAGUAAUGUGAAUUGCAGAAUUCAGUGAAUCAUCGAAUCUUUGAACGCACAUUGCGCCCCCUGGCAUUCCGGGGGGCAUGCCUGUUCGAGCGUCAUUACACCAAUCACGCCUGGCGUGGUAUUGGGCGACGGGGCCGUCACACGCCCCGCGCCCCAAUGACUCCCCGGCGGGACGGACCGUAUCUCAGCGUUGUGCAAACUGCCGCUGGCGAGACGGGCUCGGCCGUGCCGUGAAAACCUCAAUUUUAUUCAGGUUGACCUCGGAUCAGGUAGGGAUACCCGCUGAACUUAAGCAUAUCAAUAAGCGGAGGAAAAGAAACCAACAGGGGAUUGCCCCAGUAACGGCGAAGCC
rnacentral:rRNA from 1 species